rnacentral:rRNA from 1 species
AUGGCGACCGGCGCACGGGUGAGUAACGCGUAUGCAACCUGCCCGAUACCGGGGUAUAGCCCAUGGAAACGUGGAUUAACGCCCCAUAGUACUUUUAUCCUGCCUGGGAUGGGAGUUAAAUGUUCAAGGUAUCGGAUGGGCAUGCGUCCUAUUAGUUAGUUGGCGGGGUAACAGCCCACCAAGACGAUGAUAGGUAGGGGUUCUGAGAGGAAGGUCCCCCACAUUGGAACUGAGACACGGUCCAA